rnacentral:rRNA from 1 species
UAAGGUAGCGAAAUUCCUUGUCGGGUAAGUUCCGACCUGCACGAAUGGCGUAACGACUUCCCCGCUGUCUCAAAUGUGGACUCAGCGAAAUUGAAUUGUCUGUGAAGAUGCAGACUUCCCGCGGUUAGACGGAAAGACCCCAUGCACCUUUACUACAACUUCGCACUGGCAUCAGGAUUGCGAUGUGCAGGAUAGGCGGUAGGCUUUGAAGCGGGGACGCCAGUUCCCGUGGAGCCAUCCUUGAGAUACCGCCCUUCGCACUCUUGAUGUCUAACCGCGGCCCGUUAUCCGGGUCCGGGACCCUGCGUGGUGGGUAGUUUGACUGGGGCGGUCGCCUCCCAAACAGUAACGGAGGCGCGCGAAGGUUGGCUCAGAGCGGUCGGAAAUCGCUCGUUGAGUGCAAUGGCAGAAGCCAGCCUGACUGCAAGACUGACAAGUCGAGCAGAGUCGAAAGACGGCCAUAGUGAUCCGGUGGUCCCGAGUGGAAGGGCCAUCGCUCAACGGAUAAAAGGUACGCUGGGGAUAACAGGCUGAUGAUGCCCAAGAGUCCAUAUCGACGGCAUCGUUUGGCACCUCGAUGUCGGCUCAUCUCAUCCUGGGGCUGGAGCAGGUCCCAAGGGUAUGGCUGUUCGCCAUUUAAAGAGGUACGUGAGCUGGGUUUAAAACGUCGUGAGACAGUUUGGUCCCUAUCUUCCGUGGGCGCUGCAGAUUUGAGGAAGCCUGCUCCUAGUACGAGAGGACCGGAGUGGACACACCUCUGGUGUAUCGGUUGUCACGCCAGUGGCAUUGCCGAGUAGCUAAGUGUGGAAGAGAUAACCGCUGAAAGCAUCUAAGCGGGAAACUCGUUUCAAGAUGAGAUCUGCCGGGGCCUUGAGCCCCCUGAAGAGUCGUUCAAGACCAGGACGUUGAUAGGCUGGG